rnacentral:lncRNA from 1 species
GCUGUGGGGAUUUUUCACUCUUUUUUUUUUUUUUUUUUUUUUUUUUUCCUAUGAACAUUGAUGACGGCAGCAGAAUUAGGCCAAAAGAUCCAGUAUCUUCUGGAAAUUGAAUCUCCUCCAGGUGGAGUGGAUUGGCAUGAAGACUGUGGAUUUGGGCAGUCCAGUCAAGGCAGGCAAUCACAAAGGAGACGCCGAAGCCAUGUGAAGUUGAAGGACACUCUCCCUGGUGAGCCAGCAGACCAUGCUCCUUUGGAAACCAAGAUGUGGCCAAGGAUGUUUGUGCCUGCUCCAGGUCAGAAUGAACGCAGCAUGCAGACUGCAGAGUGUGGCCAGCAUGAAAACACUGGAAGUGGUCUUUCAGGCAUCUGGGAGAGCAUUAUGGGUCCAAACUACUCCUGUCAGGUUUUACAUUUCUGCAGAUCUGCCAAACGCAAACCUGCACUCACCCCAUACCAAGGCAGC